GUUAAGGUGGCAGAGCCCGGUAAAUUGCAUAAAACUUAAGACUUUACACCCAGAGGUUCAACUCCUCUCCUUAACA
ensembl:Mt_tRNA